UUUUUAACUCAAGUGGCGGACGGGUGAGUAACACGUAAGAAUUUGCCUUUAGGAGGGGGAUAACAACUGGAAACGGUUGCUAAUACCCCAUAUGCUUUCGAGUGAAAUGGAUUUAUCCGCCUAAAGGGAAGCUUGCGGCUGAUUAGCUUGUUGGUGAGGUAAUGGCUCACCAAGGCGACGAUCAGUAUCUGGUUUGAGAGGACGAUCAGACACACUGGAACUGAGACACGGUCCAGACUCCUACGGGAGGCAGCAGUGGGGAAUUUUCCGCAAUGGGCGAAAGCCUGACGGAGUAAUACCGCGUGAGGGAUGACUGCCUAUGGGUUGUAAACCUCUUUUUUCAGGGAGGAACAAAAUGACGUGUACCUGAAGAAUAAGCAUCGGCUAACUCCGUGCCAGCAGCCGCGGUAAGACGGAGGAUGCAAGUGUUAUCCGGAAUCACUGGGCGUAAAGCGUCUGUAGGUGGUCAAAUAAGUCAACUGUUAAAUCUUGAGGCUCAACCUCAAAAUCGCAGUCGAAACUAUUAGACUAGAGUAUAGUAGGGGUAAAGGGAAUUUCCAGUGGAGCGGUGAAAUGCGUAGAGAUUGGAAAGAACACCGAUGGCGAAGGCACUUUACUGGGCUAUUACUAACACUCAGAGACGAAAGCUAGGGUAGCAAAUGGGAUUAGAUACCCCAGUAGUCCUAGCUGUAAACAAUGGAUACUAGAUGUUGAACAUUUGACCUGUGCAGUAUCAAAGCUAACGCGUUAAGUAUCCCGCCUGGGAAGUAUGCUCGCAAGAGUGAAACUCAAAGGAAUUGAC
rnacentral:rRNA from 1 species